CGUCGUGACAACGUAAUAUUGUUUGCUGGGAAGGCGUUCAAGCGAGCUGAACGCCACACUUAUUCAGCAAAACACACGUUUUAGUAGGAAAAUGUAUCAUAUUAGGAAGCAAACAGCACAAACAGAGAGGGGUGCUGCAUGGGUAAAACAUGGCUGCUGUGCAUUCAUCAGAGAGACGCCAGGGCGACCCAAACGAUGAACUGGGAGACCCAAGGGAUGUAGUACAGAAAUGCGAAUCAUCUGAGUACAAACUGACAAACCCCGAUAACACUAUUGCAGAUGAAGAAUAUAGUAUUCCUAAGGAUUCCAAAGAAAAUAGAGAAUCUAUUAUUGGUACCGAAGGGUUUGCUAGCCAGACUGAAGCUAGCAUUGACCCUCGAGCUAAUGAUAGAUCAGAUAUAUAUAAUGAGGUCGUAGAUUUAACAACUUCUGAAGGAAAGGAUCAAAACGACGAUGUUUCUGAUAGUAAGCAGAGGCAUUUCGAUUGGUCAGAGACGGAAGAUGAGGAAGACUGCACAGAUGUAAAAGAGAAUGGAAACGACGUGCAGAAUGACAGUAUUGGGAUAACUCCUGAGGUCCAGCAUGAUAAGAUUAUUGAAGAUAUCUCAGAGGCAGAGGAUAUGGAAAAAAAUACAACAUCUUUGGAGGAGGAAAUUGAUCUGUCGAAAGAAACAGGUGAAAGAGGUGAGGGGGCAGAAGAAGAGGGAGGAGAGGGGGCA